CCCUAGGUGGCUCAGUCGGUUAAGUGUCUGACUUCGACUCAGGUCAUGAUCUCAUGGUUCGUGGGUUCAAGCCCUUCAUUGGGC
rnacentral:tRNA from 1 species